rnacentral:rRNA from 1 species
GACGUAGGAGGCGAGCGUUAUCCGGAUUCACUGGGCGUAAAGCGCAUGUAGGCGGACUCUUAAGUCGGUGGUGAAAUCCUGGAGCUCAACUCCAGAACUGCCUUCGAUACUGAGAGUCUCGAGUCCGGGAGAGGUGAGUGGAACUGCGAGUGUAGAGGUGAAAUUCGUAGAUAUUCGCAAGAACACCAGUGGCGAAGGCGGCUCACUGGCCCGGUACUGACGCUGAGGUGCGAAAGCGUGGGGAGCAAACAGG